CGCAUAGUGACAUUCCUCACAAGACACAACAUCCUAAAUAAAUCACAAAUUGGCUUUUUACCAAAACAACGUACAUCCGACCACAUCUAUUCUCUCCAUACUCUAAUCAACAAAAAUCUAAAGGGCAAACAAAGAAAAAUAUUUACAUGUUUUAUUGAUUUUAAAAAAGCUUUCGACUCUAUUUGGCAUGAUGGUUUACUAUACAAAUUAUUACAAAUUGGCAUUGGUGGAAAAACAUUUGAUGUUAUACAAUCCAUGUAUAAAAACAGUAGAUGUGCGGUCAAACUGGGGAAUCUCAGAACAGCGUUCUUCCAGCAGAGCCGUGGAGUGAGGCAGGGAUGCAGUCUGAGCCCAACACUGUUUAACAUCUACAUCAACGAGCUGGCAGAAGCUCUGGACCGCUCCGGCAGCAUCCCGGGCCUCGCUCUGCACGACUCUGAAGUCAAAUGCCUGCUGUAUGCAGACGACCUGGUGCUGAUGUCCCCCACAGCCGAGGGUCUCCAGCACAGCCUGGCCCUGCUGGAACAGUACUGUGAGGAAUGGGCACUGACGGUCAACCUGGACAAAACCAGAGUCAUGGUGUUCCAGAAGAAGGCCAGGUCUCAGAGAAGCAGAUACCAGUUCAGUUACAGAGGAGAAGUCCUAGAGCACAGCAGCAGCUACACUUACCUGGGCAUCGAGAUCUCAGCAUCAGGGGGCUUCAGUCUGGCUGUGAAGGCCUUGAAUGAGAAGGCCCGGAGGGCUUUUUAUGCCAUCAAAUCACGGUUUGGCCAAUUAAAAUUACCAAUUAAAACAUGGAUUAAAUUAUAUCACGCAAUCAUUAAACCAAUUCUACUGUACGGGAGUGAAAUCUGGGGACCAGUAAUACAUUUUAAGAAUUGGGAUAAAAUUUCAAUAGAAAAACUACAACUAGAAAUGAUCAAAAACGUUUUAGGGGUCCAUAGAGGUACGUCCAAUGAUGCCUGCAGAGCUGAAUUAGGCUUCUACCCACUGAAGAUUGAGAUCCAGAAGAGAUGUGUUCAGUUCUGGCAUCACCUCCAUCAAUCUGAUCCUGAUUCAAUCCGAUAUAAAGCCCUCCUCGCCAAUGAAACCUCAGCAGAAUCUCAUCCUCUAAACACGCUCGCUCUUCAGCUAGUCCAGAAAACCCAGCUCCUCACUGACUACAGCUUCAGCCCCAAAGCCAUUAUUAAAGAAAUUGACAAAAAUCUAAAAGACACACAUGAUGAUUCUCUAAAAAUACACUUUGACCUCCAAAAUAAACUCCAAUGCUACUCAACCCUAAACAGAACCCACAGUGUCUCAUCCUCUAAAUACACUCG
rnacentral:lncRNA from 1 species